rnacentral:rRNA from 1 species
AUUGAACGCUGGCGGCAGGCUUAACACAUGCAAGUCGAGCGGGGAAAGGUAGCUUGCUACCUGACCUAGCGGCGGACGGGUGAGUAAUGCUUAGGAAUCUGCCUAUUAGUGGGGGACAACAUCUCGAAAGGGAUGCUAAUACCGCAUACGUCCUACGGGAGAAAGCAGGGGACCUUCGGGCCUUGCGCUAAUAGAUGAGCCUAAGUCGGAUUAGCUAGUUGGUGGGGUAAAGGCCUACCAAGGCGACGAUCUGUAGCGGGUCUGAGAGGAUGAUCCGCCACACUGGGACUGACACACGGCCCAGACUCCUACGGGAGGCAGCAGUGAGGAAUAUUGGACAAUGGGCGGAAGCCUGAUCUAGCCAUGCCGCGUGUGUGAAGAAGGCCUUUUGGUUGUAAAGCACUUUAAGCGAGGAGGAGGCUACCUGGAUUAAUACUCUAGGAUAGUGGACGUUACUCGCAGAAUAAGCACCGGCUAACUCUGUGCCAGCAGCCGCCGCGGUA